UCAAUUUAUCCGGGCUUGGGACCGGCACAGAAGCAGAGAAGGGAACAGGGAGCAGCCCGGAUUCAAACCCUGGUUUCACGGAUGGAAGGCGCCGCAAACCAUCACAGGCUAAACUGGCUCCUCCCUAUAAGUUCUAAGAAAAUUGUUCUUUGUGGAUCUUUUCCAUUCCUCAUAUUUUCAAAAAAAAAAUAUAAAGUUAAAGAUAAAACAUCGACUACCUUUUUGCAUUGGACUGGAUAAAACAGACAAAUGUGUCCUAAUACUUUUAAAGCAUGUGGUGUAUACUAGUAUAACCUCAAUUCUUUUUAAAGCCACAACAUAGAUUAAGGAAUUUACAACAAUAAACCCUUCUGAACU